CUGGCGGCGUGCUUCAUACAUGCAAGUCGAACGAGAAGCUGACUUCGGUCAGUGGAAAGUGGCGGACGGGUGAGUAAUAUGUAGAGAAUCUGCCCUUGAGUGGGGGACAACAGAGGGAAACUUCUGCUAAUACCCCAUAUGAGCUAACUUGAAAUAGUUAUCUUGAAAACUCCGGUGCUCAAGGAUGAGUCUGCAUCUGAUUAGCUAGUUGGCGGUGUAAUGGACCACCAAGGCGACGAUCAGUAGCUGGUUUGAGAGGAUGAUCAGCCACAAUGGGACUGAGACACGGCCCAUACUCCUACGGGAGGCAGCAGUAGGGAAUUUUGCGCAAUGGGCGAAAGCCCUGACGCAGCAACGCCGCGUGAACGAUUAAGCCCUUCGGGGUGUAAAGUUCUGUCAGUAGGGACGAAUUUUGACGGUACCUACAGAGGAAGCACCGGCUAACUCCGUGCCAGCAGCGGC
rnacentral:rRNA from 1 species